GAUGUGGAUGAGAUGUGUCUGCUGACUGUGAGACGAACCUUCAAUGGGUCUGGGACGUACUGUGUGAACCUCACCCUGGGGGAUGACACAAGCCUGGCUCUCACGAGCACCCUGAUUUCUGUUCCUGACAGAGACCCAGCCUCGCCUUUAAGGAUGGCAAACAGUGCCCUGAUCUCCGUUGGCUGCUUGGCCAUAUUUGUCACUGUGAUCUCCCUCUUGGUGUACAAGUAAGUUUUUGGUUCCUACGCUUUAUAUCACUAUAGUGUAUUGUCAAAAGUGAAUAUAUCUCUGUGUAAAUAGGCAUUUUUCCCUUUUUUGCUUUUAAACAUUUUGUGUAGGGGAGGAAAAUAUUACAUUGAAUGGUGAAUACCAAACUGGCCUGUUAAUCUUGUUGUGGUUUGUUUUUAAUCCUAAAAGAUGCUACCAGAUCUCAGUAACUUUACAAAAUUAUGUCAACUUAAUUUUAACAUGAUAGUCUCAAAUUAUAGUAAGCAGGCACAUUUCUUGCAUGAACAAGAGUAAAUAAAUGUACUUUCAU
rnacentral:lncRNA from 1 species